rnacentral:tRNA from 1 species
GGGCGCAUAGCGCAGUGGUAGUGCGUCCGCUUUGCAAGCGGAAGGCCCCGGGUUCAAUCCCCGGUGUGUCCA